rnacentral:rRNA from 1 species
GUGUCAGCAGCCGCGGUAAUACGUAGGGGGCCAGCGUUGCUCGGAAUUACUGGGCGUAAAGGGUUCGUAGGCGGUGUGGCAAGUCGGAAGUGAAAUCUCUGGGCUCAACCCAGAGGCUGCUCCCGAAACUGCCAUGCUAGAGUGUGGGAGAGGCGAGUGGAAUUACAGGUGUAGCGGUGAAAUGCGUAGAUAUCGGGAGGAACACCUGUGGCGAAAGCGGCGCACUGGACCACUACUGACGCUGAUGCGCGAAAGCUAGGGGAGCAAACAGGAUUAGAUACCCUAGUAGUCC